rnacentral:rRNA from 1 species
AUUGAACGCUGGCGGCAGGCCUAACACAUGCAAGUCGAGCGAGCGGCGGACGGGUGAGUAAUGUAUGGGGAACUGCCCGAUAGAGGGGGAUAACUACUGGAAACGGUGGCUAAUACCGCAUACUAUCGGAUGAACCCAGAUGGGAUUAGCUAGUUGGUGGGGUAACGGCUCACCAAGGCGACGAUCCCUAGCUGGUCUGAGAGGAUGACCAGCCACACUGGGACUGAGACACGGCCCAGACUCCUACGGUAGGCAGCAGUGGGGAAUAGUGCACAAUGGGCGAAAGCCUGAUGCAGCCAUGCCGCGUGUAUGAAGAAGGCCUUAGGGGUGUAAAGUACUUUCAGCGGGGAGGCGUUACCCGCAGAAGAAGCACCGGCUAACUCCGUGCCAGCAGCCGCGGUAAUAG